ensembl:lncRNA
GGAAUUAAGGAAAUAGCGUUUACGCACCUCUAAAUAGCGUUUACGAACCUCAAAGUUCCCUGUGCCUUGUAUUCUGCAGUUGGAAUAAUCGGAAAUAAAUUUGGUAUCAUUUUAAAACACCUAAAACAAAGUUGCAUAUGGUUGAACAAAUGAACGCUGUAAUCUGAAUCAUUUUCAUCUGCGCUUUUACAGGCCUAUGCUAUUAUGGUCUGUGACCCUCCAAUCAGUGCCUUGCGGCUGCGGCGGCAACACCAAUCCGGAUCCAGGAAAAUAUGUAAACAGGAAGUAUGUAAACACAUGGCCCUACGCGUUGUGGAUUAUCAUGCCUGCCUACCUGUCAUUAAUUAGCCAUGGAUGUCAGGCGAUUUUUUAAGAGACCUUCGAGUGCUCCCGCUCUCCAACAGAUUCCCGAAAAAGGCCUCAAGUACAAAACAGAUCUUGCUUGCAUCAAAUGCUGCUUUGAGGGUCACUCAACACGGAUGCUUCCUGUUGCAUCCAGGAGGCCACCGGACCACUCACCACAGGAGCUGAUGCACAUUCUUCAUGCUGAACUUUACACCGUUGUCCCACCAUCCACUGAAUUGAACACCAUUCAGACUCAUGGCUGUAUCAGCAGUGACAUGCGUGUGGUGUGUAGAGACUCCAACGGUUGUGUCAGUGUUCUCUCGCUAACGGCGCCGGGGCUAGAGACCACGGCCCCAGGGGAAGGCUCUGAGGCCUGGAUCACAGCCAUCUCCUUCUAGGACACCCAGCUGCUCUACUCAGGUAACCCCCCCCCACACACACACGCCACCGGUUUCACUCACUUUUAGAAGUGGGGCAGGGUAGGCUAAAGCAGAUAACAUGAAUUCAGACUAGGGAUCGACCGAAUAUAUCGGUCGGCCGAUAUUAUCGGACCGAUAUUCGCGUUUUUUACGUGUAUCGUAUCGGCCGAUACGCGGCUGAUUUUCGCCGAUAUUUUUUCACUUUUUUUUUUUUUACUUGUUCUACCUCACCUGUUUUUAAUAUUUGUUAAAUAUUGCUCAUCAAAUUUUUCUUACUUGUUUUACCUCACCUGUUUUUAAUAUUUGUUAAAUAUUGUUUUUUAUAUUGAAGUUCAAUAAAUGUUCCUUUUUUUAAAUUGAGACUUGUAACAUUUGUUAUCAGUGUAAUUUUUAUGAUUGAGGGAGCAAAAGCAGUAUCGGCUCUAAAUAUCGGUAUCGGCGUAUCAGAGUAUCGGCUAAGGCUGAUGAAAAAAUAUCGGUAUCGUAUCGGCCCUAAAAAAUCUGUAUCGGUCGAUCCCUAAUUCAGACUUAUAGAUUUUAUUAUAAAAAACAAUACUUUAUAAAAAAAAUAUUUUUUUUUAAUUUGAGCUGCUAUAAUGCCGUUUCCCCUCGGUGAUGAAUGAAGUACAUAUGUAUUUAUGUAUCUAUCAAUAUAGUUGUUGGGGUGUUUGUCUCCCAGCUGAAAAAGUAUUUGAAUCAACCACCAAUGUCGCUGGAGAGGGAGGCCCAGAAAGGGCCAUCAAGGCCUCAAUUCAGUCAAACUACAGGAGUCGGAUGAUAAGCAUAUUAACUAAAGUUGUGUGUGUGUGUGUGUGUGUGUGUGUGUGUGUGUGUGUGUGUGUGUGUCACAGCAAGCUGAAAGGCUGGGACCCCAGGAUGGAGCUCUCCUCUCCCACUUUCACCAGCAAGAGGUAAAUAAACAGCCCUAGCUAGCUUCACUAAUUAUCCUAUCUUAGCCUUUUGGAGAAAACGCCACUUUCUGACUCUAAACCUAUGUUGGGUCAUCUGCUGUCUCACCUCCGUUUCAGUUAAGAAGUCAUAGAAUAGGUAUUUAGAUAUUUGAUAUUUUUUUAUAUUAGUAAAGUGAGGAUCUAAAAUGUAACAUAUCACGUUUCGGAUGAUCACAGAGGGGUAUAUGCACUACACGUCUACCAAAUAUCUUGUCAGGACAAUGCCAAUGUCAAUCAAUAUACUGAAAUAAACACGAGGUUUACUAAUUUUCUUAUGCUUACUGCACAUCUUGAUAUCUUUUUAAUAACAUAAUUAUAAGGAAAUCAUUAACAAAUUGACACACUUGUACCUUCAGUAAUAUGGCCGUCUGGUCAACCUCGGACAUUUCAACACACUAACUAAAUCACGUAACUAAAUCAUUUUUCAACCGUUCUCCAUCGUUCAAACCAUUAAAAAUAUUUGUAUCUUCACUAAUAUCUAAACAAAAUUUUGUUUAGAUAUUGGACCCCUUUGAUAAUGAGUACGCCAUAUAUGGAUACCAAUAUAAUUGAUGGGGUGUCAGAUGUGUGACGGCCCUCUGACUGUCUUUGUGUAACUUGGGGG